rnacentral:rRNA from 1 species
AACGCGAAGAACCUUACCAGGAUUCGACAUGCCCUCUAUGGAUUCCCGAAAAGGAAUCCUUCACUUCGGGUGGGAGGAGCACAGGUGCUGCAUGGCUGUCGUCAGCUCGUGUCGUGAGAUGUUGGGUUAAGUCCCGCAACGAGCGCAACCCUCGUCCUCUGUUGCUAACAGGUUAGGCUGAGCACUCUGAGGAAACUGCCGGUGAUAAGCCGGAGGAAGGUGGGGAUGACGUCAAGUCCUCAUGGCCCUUACAUCCUGGGCUACACACGUGUUACAAUGGUGGUGACAAUGGGCAGCGAAGUCGCAAGAUGGAGCAAAUCCCCAAAAGCCACCUCAGUUCGGAUUGCACUCUGCAACUCGAGUGCAUGAAGCUGGAAUCGCUAGUAAUCGUGGAUCAGCACGCCACGGUGAAUACGUUCCCGGGCCUUGUACACACCGACUGUAC